rnacentral:lncRNA from 1 species
AUUUUUCAAAAUUUGAAAUCUUAUCCCAAAAUCCCACUCCCCAACUCUAAACCCUAAAACCUAAACUCUUAACCCUAAACCCUAAAUCCUAAAACCCCCUAAAUCCUAAACCCUAAACCCUAAAUCCUAAACUUCACCCCUUGACUCUAAACCCUAAACUCUAAACCCCACCCCUAAACUCUAAACCCUAAACCCUAAACCCUAAACCCCACCCCUUAACUCUAAACCCUAAUGUCUAAAUUAAUUUACCAUUGGAGUAUAAGUGUAUAAU